GUGCUUAUUCAUGGUGUUAAAUUGCUCUGUGUGGAUGACUACAAAGGGGAACAUUCCUCACUGCCUGCACAAGUAAAGCAGGAGCUUCACUUGACACCAAUUAAUUUUUAAGAGCAGAGAACCCACUGUCGUAUUCAAUUGGACUCAGUGUGUCUCCGGUGCUAUACCAGGGAUGCGAAGCAGCUGCCACUUGGACUGGCUGUGUUGGGACUGAAUCAGAAGAGGAUUGAUUUAGAUACAAGUGGCCCAGCAGGAGCAAAGAGAUGAGGUGCUCUAACUCUUCCAGAGAACAGAAUUAACAUGG